UGUGUGUGUGUGUGUGUGUGUGUGUGUAUAUGUUUGGUGGUUGUCUACUCCUUACGCAGAGAUUGACCAUCUCCUGUACCUACACCUUAGAACCGUCAUG